rnacentral:rRNA from 1 species
UAAAUCAGUUAUGGUUCACUAGAUCGUAUGAAUUACAUGGAUAACUGUGGUAAUUCUAGAGCUAAUACAUGCAUCAUGCUCGGCUGCCUUGUGCAGCGAGCGCAGUUAUUAGAACAAAACCAAUCCGGCCUCGGUCGGUAAAUUGGUGACUCUGAAUAACCGAAGCGGAGCGCUAAGGUCUCGUACCGGCGCCAGAUCUUUCAAGUGUCUGACUUAUCAGCUUGUUGCGAGGUUAUGUUCCUCGCAUGGCUCUUACGGGUGACGGGGAAUCAGGGUCCGAUUCCGGAGAGGGAGCCUGAGAAACGGCUACCACAUCCAAGGAAGGCAGCAGGCGCGCAAAUUACCCACUCCCGGCACGGGGAGGUAGUGACGAAAAAUAACGAUGCGAGAGCUUCAAGCUUUUCGUAAUCGGAAUGGGUACACUUUAAAUCCUUUAACGAGGAUCUAUUGGAGGGCAAGUCUGGUGCCAGCAGCCGCGGUAAUUCCAGCUCCAAUAGCGUAUAUUAAAGUUGCUGCGGUUAAAAAGCUCGUAGUUGGAUCCGGGUAGUCGACGUGCGGUUGGCUCAAAAGCUGUACUGCAUGCUCGGCGCCACUAUCCGGCAUGUCUUGCAUGUUCUUCACUGAGCGUGCUUGGCGGCUGGAACGUUUACUUUGAAAAAAUUAGAGUGCUUAAAGCAGGCAUAUGGCCUUGCAUAAUGGUGCAUGGAAUAAUGGAAUAGGACAUCGGUCCUAUUUUGUUGGUUUUCGGGUUCGAUGUAAUGAUUAAGAGGAACAGACGGGGACAUU